GUUGAAACACUGGUUCCCAUAUGAUCACCAAAGUUAAGCAACCUCGAGCCUGGUUAGUACCUAGAUGGGUGACCACAUGGGAAUACCAGGUUCUGCAAG